UCUCUUGGAGUCCAGCAGCAGACUCCUCCUCUUCCUGCUGCUCUCCUGCAGCUUCCUGCUCCUCCUCUGGACGCUGUCGCUCCGCUCCUCGAUGCUUCAGCACAACAAAACAAGCACACACAACGAUGACCUCACUUCCUGUCGGACCAGACGGGUCGCCAGCGCCUCCUCCUCCGCGCCGCCUCUCUCACCGCGUGGCGGCGUGGUGCCGCCGGCGGACGAGCUCCCGGCUGCGUUGGGCGAACCGAUCCACCCGAUGGUCCAAAACCUUCAGGAGACCCUCCAGCUCGUCCUGUCGGCCCAGCAGAGCGUAGACCCCCUCCGCCGAGUCCUGAACCGACGCACGCAUGGUCAUCACAAGCACGACGGGUCUCGUGCCCCGACAGCGCCGCCUCGAUGCGGUCUCCCUCCUGGUUCAGCCUCUGGAGCUCCGCCCCUUCCUCCAGGCGCGCCCCCCUGCUGGCCCACAGCGCGUCCAGUUUGGACCAAUCGGCUUCCAGCUUCUCCAGGGUGCUCCGGACGUCGACACCCCCUGUGGUCCCGUCCGAUGAGCCCCUCCCGAG
ensembl:lncRNA